CCCCUGUGCCCCCUCCCAAAUCUGCAACCCAGAAGCAGAAAUCCCCAAUUCCCUUCUCGCCUCCCCUCCCCUCUCCCCCCUCUCCCGCACCCGAGCGCGUGAAAACCCGAGGAGCGGCGGAGCGAAGAGGCGGAGAUGGAGUCGGACCAAGGGAAGCUCUUCAUCGGCGGCAUCUCGUGGGAAACGACGGAGGAGAAGCUGCACGAGCACUUCUCCACCUUCGGCGAGGUCUCCCAGGCCGCCGUCAUGCGCGACAAGCUCACCGGCCGCCCCCGGGGCUUCGGCUUCGUCGUCUACGCCGACCCGGCCGCCGUCGAUGCCGCUCUCCUAGAGCCACAUACCCUCGACGGCCGCACGGUCGAUGUGAAGCGGGCGCUUUCGCGGGAGGAGCAGCAGGCUUCUAAGGCGGUGAACCCUAGCACCGGAAGGAACACUGGAGGUGGCGGCGGUGGCAAUGAUGCCAGUGGUACUCGGACGAAGAAGAUCUUUGUUGGUGGACUGCCCUCAAGCCUGACAGAUGAUGAGUUCCGGCAGUACUUCCAGACUUUUGGGGCUGUCACUGAUGUUGUGGUGAUGUAUGACCAGACCACCCAGCGCCCCAGGGGGUUUGGGUUCAUCACCUUUGACUCUGAGGAUGCAGUUGACCGUGUACUGCACAAGACCUUCCAUGAUUUGGGUGGAAAGAUGGUAGAGGUUAAGCGUGCACUGCCUCGGGAGGCAAACCCUGGCUCUGGUGGCGGCGGGCGUUCUAUGGGAGGUGGGGGUUUUCAUAGUAAUAAUGGCCCUAACUCCAAUGCUGGCAGCUAUGAUGGCAGAGCUGAUGCUAGCAGAUAUGGGCAGGCGCAGCAGGGCAGUGGUGGCUAUCCGGGUUAUGGUGCUGGAGGUUAUGGUAGUGCUGCAACUGGAUAUGGAUAUGGACAUGCUAACCCUGCAUCUACAUAUGGAAAUUAUGGUUCUGCAGGAUAUGGAGGUGUUCCUGCUGGGUAUGCUGGGGCUUAUGGUAAUCCAAGUCCUGCUGCCUCUGGUUACCAGGGGGGGCCCCCAGGUGCUAAUAGAGGGCCCUGGGGUAGUCAAGCUCCAUCUGGUUAUGGCACUGGAAGUUAUGCUGGCAAUGCAGGCUAUGGUGCAUGGAACAGCUCUUCUGCUGGUGGCAAUGCACCCAGUAGUCAGGCACCUGGUGCAGCUGCAGGUUAUGGAAACCAGGGCUAUGGAUAUGGUGGAUAUGGAGGGGAUGCAUCUUAUGGUAAUCAGGGAGGAUAUGGUGCUUAUGGAGGGCGGGGAGAUGGUGCUGGCAAUCCUGCUGCUGGUGGAGCAUCUGGGUAUGGUGCUGGAUAUGGAAGUGGGAAUGGCAACUCUGGAUAUCCAAAUGCAUGGACUGAUCCUUCACAGGGUGGAGGAUUUGGUGGUUCAGUCAAUGGAGCUUCUGAAGGUCAAUCAAAUUAUGGCGGUGGUUAUGGUGGUAUGCAACCUAGAGUUGCACAGUAAGGAAAGCCAUUAUUAUCAAUGAAGUGAACUAGCAAAAGUGGGCAGCAUAUGUAUUAUUUUCUCCAAUUGCUCCUGGCCUCCUGAAGAUCCCCAUUUUGCUGGUUAAAUCAGUACUCCUGGUUGCUGGGAUGCUAUUCCUUUUUAAAGCAUGUCCAAGCGGGGUUGAAAAUAGCCUGGGAAAUCUGCUAAUUUUGCUUGAUGAGCCGACGAGAAGUCGCAGUUUGAAGCAUUGGUACCGAAUCCAUGCUACUAUCUUUUUAAGUGCUUCAUUUUCUCAAGGAUCUUGUGCUGUGCUACAAGAUGGUGAUGCAGUUAUCCAAGGUAUAUUAAGCUGGAGAUGUUUGGUGCAAUUUCCCUAGAGUUCAUCUACAUGAGGAGGCCAGUUUUCUUUCUUGUGGAUGCCACCUGACAGACGAUUUCCUGGCAAGUUCACUUCCGUGGGACAUUGGAGUUGGAGGUAUGUCGACCCUUCUGGGAUCCCAUGGGAAGUCAAUUGCAGGAUAAUUCAAUACUUGGCAAACAAACAGGCUCUCCGUACCAUCAGUGAAAUCUAUAUGAAGAAAUGUUUCCAAGAAUUAUUGGUGCUCGGCCUGUUAUCAUCAGAAAGAUCUAUUAUACUGGGCAUUAAACUCUCUACAAAGUUCUCGAUGUAGUUGAACACUUGUUGUCGUCUCUAAUCUGACUGUUGCAGUGGUUGAAUUGAAAUACUCGAGUUUUAAGUUUUCUGAAGAAAUAAAGGACCUGCACGUUUGUUUA